rnacentral:rRNA from 1 species
GAUGAACGCUGACAGAAUGCUUAACACAUGCAAGUCUACUUGAAUUUGGGUUUUUAACUUAGGUUUGGGUGGCGGACGGGUGAGUAACGCGUAAAGAACUUGCCUCACAGCUAGGGACAACAUUUAGAAAUGAAUGCUAAUACCUAAUAUUAUGAUAAUAGGGCAUCCUAUAAUUAUGAAAGCUAUAAGCGCUGUGAGAGAGCUUUGCGUCCCAUUAGCUAGUUGGAGAGGUAACGGCUCACCAAGGCGAUGAUGGGUAGCCGGCCUGAGAGGGUGAUCGGCCACAAGGGGACUGAGACACGGCCCUUACUCCUACGGGAGGCAGCAGUGGGGAAUAUUGGACAAUGGACCGAGAGUCUGAUCCAGCAAUUCUGUGUGCACGAUGAAGUUUUUCGGAAUGUAAAGUGCUUUCAGCUGGGAAGAAAGAAAUGACGGUACCAACAGAAGAAGUGACGGCUAAAUACGUGCCAGCAGCCGCGGUAAUACGUAUGUCACGAGCGUUAUCCGGAUUUAUUGGGCGUAAAGCGCGUCUAGGUGGUUAUAUAAGUCUGAUGUGAAAAUGCAGGGCUCAACUCUGUAUUGCGUUGGAAACUGUAUAACUAGAGUACUGGAGAGGUAAGCGGAACUACAAGUGUAGAGGUGAAAUUCGUAGAUAUUUGUAGGAAUGCCGAUGGGGAAGCCAGCUUACUGGACAGAUACUGACGCUGAAGCGCGAAAGCGUGGGUAGCAAACAGG